UUGAUAGUUGGUAAAAGGAGCUGUUUUACCCAGCGUUUUCCCAUCAUCUUCUUUCUUUCCCAUUACACGAUAUGAAUGGUAACAAUGUACUUUUACGAGAGGCUUUAUUCAUUGAGGAUUAAUGUGUUAUAAGCAGUAUAAUAAAGACUUUAGAUGGCUAACAACAGCCCCGCGCUGACAGGCAACUCACAGCUGCAGCACCAGACGGCCGCUGCUGCGGCUCAGCAACAGCAGCAGUGCGGCGGCGGCGGCGGCGUAGCGCCGGCGGUCUGCGGCAAGCAGGGCAAUGUGCUCCCUCUCCGGGGCGACGAGAAGACCAUGAACUUCAACCCCAUGAUCCUGACCAACAUCCUGUCAUUGCCUUGCUUCAAAAUACAGCUCUACGAGCUCAAGACCUACCACGAGGUGGUGGACGAGAUCUACUUUAAGGUCACGCACGUUGAACCAUGGGAGAAAGGAAGCAGGAAAACAGCUGGCCAGACAGGGAUGUGCGGAGGGGUAAGUAGAAGUUCGAGGUGUUGGAACAGGAGGAAUUGUUUCUACAGCAUUUUGCCUGUUAUACAAAUUAUUUACCCUAAAGUUAACUCGAAAGCAAGUGAUGGGUCUUAUAACACACACAGACUCUCCAUAUAUUAGAGCGCUUGGAUUUAUGUAUAUCAGAUAUACACAGCCCCCUAAAGAUCUAUGGGACUGGUUUGAAUCCUUCCUUGAUGAUGAAGAGGACCUAGAUGUGAAGGCUGGUGGAGGCUGUGUAAUGACCAUUGGAGAAAUGCUACGAUCUUUUCUCACAAAACUGGAGUGGUUUUCUACCUUGUUUCCAAGAAUUCCAGUUCCAGUUCAAAAGAAUAUUGAUCAACAGAUUAAAACCCGACCUAGAAAAAUCAAGAAAGAUGGGGAGGAAGGUGCUGAGGAAAUAGACAGACAUGUUGAAUGCAGACGUUCAAGGUCUCCAAGGAGAUCUCUGAGUCCACGGAGGUCCCCAAGAAGAUCAAGAAGUAGAAGUCAUCAUCGGGAGGGCCAUGGGUCUUCUAGUUUUGACAGAGAAUUAGAAAGAGAGAAAGAACGCCAGCGACUAGAGCGUGAAGCCAAAGAAAGGGAGAAAGAACGGCGAAGAUCCCGAAGUAUUGACCGGGGGUUGGAACGUAGGUGCAGCAGAAGUAGGGAAAGGCAUAGAAGUCACAGUCGAAGUCGUGAUAGGAAAGGGGAUAGAAGGGACAGGGAUCGAGAAAGAGAGAAGGAAAAUGAGAGAGGUAGAAGACGAGAUCGUGACUAUGAUAAGGAAAGAGGAAAUGAACGAGAAAAAGAGAGAGAGCGAUCAAGAGAAAGGUCCAAGGAACAGAGAAGUAGGGGAGAGGUAGAAGAGAAGAAACAUAAAGAAGACAAAGAUGAUAGGCUGCACAGAGAUGACAAAAGAGAUUCCAAGAAAGAGAAAAAACACAGUAGAAGCAGAAGCAGAGAAAGGAAACACAGAAGUAGGAGUCGAAGUAGAAAUGCAGGGAAACGAAGUAGAAGUAGAAGCAAAGAGAAAUCAAGUAAACAUAGAAAUGAAAGUAAAGAAAAAUCAAAUAAACGAAGUCGAAGUGGCAGUCAAGGAAGAACUGACGGUGUUGAAAAAUCAAAAAAACGGGAACAUAGUCCCAGCAAAGAAAAAUCUAGAAAGCGUAGUGGAAGCAAAGUUCCCACAAACGAGAUCACAGUGAUAGUAAGGACCAGUCAAACAUGAUCAUCGAAGGAGCCAAAGUAUAGAACAAGAGAGCCAAGAAAAACAGCAUAAAAACAAAGAUGAGACUGUGUGAAAAUAUUUUGUAAAAGUGGAUCACAUUGAAUCCUAUAAAUGAUUAAAUCUGCUUCUUUUCCCCCAAGUUGAGAUUGUGCAGUAGUUCGCACUCCUCAAGCUCUCCCUGUAGGCUGCAUUUUCAUUUCCUCUUUUGUGUAGGGAAGUGCCUUUGUAAUUCCAUUUAUUGCAUUGGUGUUUUCCCCCAAUUGUUAAGUUUGAUACAUGAUGCACAGAUUGUUCUUGCAUUUUUAUUGUUUGUUUUUGAAAUGUACAGUCUGUACAUAUGUCCUGAAAAUGUUUUAAUUCCUUUGGCAUGGUUGCCAUGUUGGUUAAAUUUGUAUAAGGCAAUAAACUGCCACUAAUCUAUUUUUGUUUUGUAGGUGUGAGAUUAUGGUUUGUGUACUGAAGUUAGCAUGGCUGUGCUUUUUGUAAUAGAAUGCUAAAGACUUUGAGAAUGGAUCUCGGAUGUCUAUUAUAGGAGAAAUACGUGCUGCCAAUGUACAUGAAGGCAGCAUUGUAGGAUUAACAUUCUUGUCCACUGUAUAUUAUCUUGGAAGGCUCUUGUUAAUAUGUUACACUUAAUAUUCUCCACAGUUACCUUUAGAGAGAAUUUAUGAGAAGUUAGUUUCUGAUGCAGAGGUUUUUAGGCUGUGAUUUCAUCAAGUCCUUUUAGCAUUCUACCUCAAAGGGACACUUAGUAUGCCUAAAAUUUAUUCACUUAGUUUUCCUUUUUUAUUUGAAAAACUACAUGACAUGUAACUUUUUUUCUUGAAUUCUUUCUCAGAUUUUAAAGUACUAUAUUAAAGAAAAAAAUUAAUGUCUAAA